GGGACGGUGCCGCCUCGCCGCGGGCUGCGCCCGCCCACCCGGGGCCGGCGGGCACGGUGUGGGUCCGAGGUCCGGGCUGGGACCCCACAGCUCACGCCCGAGGGGCGGGCAGGAGAGAAGCCCCUGAAAGGGCUGAGGACAAGGGCACCUGCAGCACGGCCUGGGGGGGCAGCAAGAGCCCAGGCCCGCGCUUAAGUGGAGCCCAGAGGACGUGAGGGGAGGCCCCAGGUGGGGCUAGUCAGGGCAGUGAGGGCUUAUUAGCGCUUUCAGGGGGCCUGCGGCUGUUAGUGUCAUUUCUGCUUUGGACAGUCUUGUGGCUCAGCUCUGUUGAUGGACUCUGGCUGCUGUGACAGAAGAUGUAAUUCUCUAUGUGGAAACCAGGAAGAGGAUUUUGCUGGUCAGUACACAAGAAUUUAAUUCCUUCCUAGCUGCUUGAACCUGGAGACCCAGGAAGAGAAACAAGUUCUGUGGACCUUGUAACAUGGUGUGAUCAACUGAACUCAAAUACUAAACAUCCCAGAACUGCAAGAAAAAGUUUUCAGAUGAGGGUAGCUUGCACGCUUCCUGAAUGAAAGAAAACACGGGCCAACAUGAGAGGGAGCAGGAGAGAAGAUGUACAGCAGUCCUAUGAUGCCACCAAACUGAGCAGAAACCAUUACCCUCUUCUGCUGGACCACAUGUUUCUCAGAACUGGGAGUAGCUGCCAGCAAGAGCAGCUCACAGGGAAAGGCAGUGGCUGUUUACCUGCACCGCUCAGCCAGACCAGGGAGGACAGACCCACUUGUAUUCUCCAACAGAAGACUGACAUGACACAAAUGGUGGCACAAGAGUCUUACUGUUACAUUCAAUAAUUGAUUCUCCUGGAUGGAUUGUGACUCCCCAAAGGUUGCAAAAAGAGAAAGAUUUGAAUUAUGCUGCCACAUACCAAGGAGAAAAAAACAGCGUAAAAGCAUUGGUUUAAUGGACAUGCUUUGGGUUUACACUGGCAUCCUGAAAGCAGAAUUGUUCCCUGUGGAUGUAGAAGUAUCACGGUAACUCUCCCCAGGGUCAGAACGGCCCCUCACUGGGAUUGCUGUCAGCCAGCAUGACAACCAGGGAGUUCUGCUGGAGAAGUACUUUGAGGGAAUAUCAGCAAUUAGCUUCUUCAGCUAAUUGUUGGAUUUUAUAAGUGACUCUUCAAAAACAGCUAUGAGGAUUAGGUUGAGCCUUUCUACCGAGCUCUGGGUAAGGGAUUCCACAUGGCAAGAGGAGAAUCGCCACACGGGUCACAAUUUCUUCUCUUCAGCGAGGGGAAAGGAUCUGCAGCUCAUCUGUAUCAGUUCAUCUGUAGCAGCAAGCUGGGUGACAGAGAUGGGACUUAUCCCUGGACAUGGGACGUUUGUUCAUCAGGCCAGGAACUGGGGGCUCAUAUCUGGCUGUAGAGUUGGAAGACGGAGGCAGACAGAGAGAAAUGGAAGGAAGAGUCAACUUUUUAAACAGGAAAGAAAGAAGGCUAGAACCUAAAA